CACAGGUAUUAUUAUUUUGGCCUAACAAAAGCAUACCCACGGUAAUCAAUAAGCCAGUCGCCUAGUAAUAAACAGAAAGUGAAAGUGAAUGUAGGGAAAGAUGGAUUCGGCUCAGAGCACGAUUCAUGUCUCCAACUGUCAGCUAAUGCAGUUGGGCCGAGAAAACACUGUAAUACAUAAUGGUGCAUAUACAAAUGAAUUAGAAAAAUUAAAACAAGAACUUAACAGAUUGAAAAGGGAUGUCGAAUUACUGAAAAAUGCUGAACAAGGGAACCGAUAUGAUAUGAACGACCAAUGUGUUCCUGAUAAUGAAGAUGAUUGGAGGUAUGCGGAUAGUAAAGAAGGCAGUGUGAGCUACCCGGAUCCAGAUAAAGAUGUGUGUGAGACAGAACAUUAUGAUGAUGAUGGUGCAGAAGAUAAUGUUGGUGAAGAUUAUGAAAAUGAUGAAAACUGUUCUGACCAGGAGAAGAACGAUGAUAAUUCUACCGAGACAGAGAAUAAGGUUGACGAAGAUCCUGGGCAGCUGGGUGUCGUAAACGACGACAGUUCAUACAACUGUCAGGAUAGCGACGAUGAUUUGGAGGAAGAAUAUAAUGUUACUGCCAAACAUUUGAUGAUGCUGAGCCUGAAGAGAUGCCGAAAACUGAUUUUGAAAACUGUUGAUUUAAAUGAUGGGUUGCCGUGUAACAAUUUGGUGGAGGAUGAACUGAAAGCUGUUACAAAUGGCAUAGACAGACUAUGUCAAAUGUUGAAGGCAACACAAGCUAUAGAAAAAUAGCCGGAUAGCUGUAAUGAUAGCUGUAGUUGAAAUUUUAAUGAUGCCGAUUUGCAUCCCUUCACUAACCAAAUAAACGCCUUUAAUUUUAAUGAAUUUUUAAUUUCACAUGCUUAAUCUAGUUGGAGUUCCUACUUGGGUGUCCAAUGUGAUGAGGUAUGUUCCCAAGUAAUAACUUUUAUAAGUGACAUCAAUUUACAAAAUUGGGUUAAUAAUUGCGCUUUUUUGGUGGUGGGGUUUACCUUUUGUUUACGUUCUCCGCUGUCACUGUGAAAUACCCUGUAUCAGUGCUCACCCUAGGUUCCAAUAUUUUUGCAACACAAAUUUAUUUAAAUUUCAUACAAUAAAUUUUUUGAUAAUUGAA